rnacentral:lncRNA from 1 species
GCCUGACUUUUUUACAUUACAUUAUGAUGAUGAUGAAACAGAGUGUGCCACGCUGUACGUGACGACUCCACACAUAGCAUACACAAAGUUCAGAUAGAUGCUAAUUGCAUAGGUGCACAUCUGUUUAAGUGCAGCGAUACUUUGGAGCGGAGCAGCAUCUUCAGCCAUACGCUCGGCCGCUUCGUCAGUCCUUUGGUUUGCCGCUCUUCUUCUUCUUGACGUAGCAGAAGCACGAGCAGCAGGGGAACUGGAACAGGAACUUCAUUGGUCUGGGAUGGGACUCGCUGAUGCUGUUGUUUGUUGCGUGCGUUGAGUUGGUGUGUUGCUGAAGGCGGGUCUGCAUCCGGCCUUAGAUAUACUAGCGUGUUGAUUCCUUGCUUGGCUGGUUGUGUUAUCACAGGACGGUGGAGAUUGUGGUGCUUUCUUCUGUGUGGGGUGGUUUGUGCGAUUAAUUUCAUUGGCUUGUUGUGCCGAGAAGAAUUUGUCGGCAAGUAACCGUGGCGAUCGUUCCAUCUGCCUCUACCGUAAUGUAUCCACUGCAAAGUAGUAUUAAAACCCAUUCACAAGCCAUUACAAGUCUGGAAUUAUCCUCUGAAGAAAAGAAGGGGUAAACAAGUCUGGAGUUGGUAGUGGUUUUGAAGUUGUGAACAACUUCUUGCUUGCCUCGCUACCAAGCGGGAGGAAUAUCCUUUGGUUGCCUUUUUGACAAAGAU